GAUGAACGCAGACAGAAUGCUUAACACAUGCAAGUCGAUUCAAUUUACCUUCGGGUAAUGAGGAUGGCGGACGGGUGAGUAACGCGUAAGGAACUUGCCUCUUGGUCUGGGACAACUGUUGGAAACGACAGCUAAUACCGGAUAUUAUGAGAUUCUCGCAUGGGAAACUUAUGAAAGCUAUAUGCGCCAAGAGAGAGCCUUGCGUUCCAUUAGCUAGUUGGUGGGGUAACGGCCCACCAAGGCGACGAUGGAUAGCCGGCCUGAGAGGGUGAACGGCCACAAGGGGACUGAGACACGGCCCUUACUCCUACGGGAGGAAGCAGUGGGGAAUAUUGGACAAUGGACCAAAAGUCUGAUCCAGCAAUUCUGUGUGCACGAUGAAGGUCUUCGGAUUGUAAAGUGCUUUCAGUUGGGAAGAAGCAAGUGACGGUACCAACAGAAGAAGCGACGGCUAAAUACGUGCCAGCCGCCGCGGUAA
rnacentral:rRNA from 1 species